GAUGAACGCUGGCGGCGUGCCUAAUACAUGCAAGUCGAACGAAUCUUCUUCGGAAGAUGAGUGGCGAACGGGUGAGUAAUACAUAGGUAACCUGCCCCUGUGCGGGGGAUAACAGGAGGAAACUCCUGCUAAUACCGCAUAGCCAUGAGCACCGCAUGGAGCUCAUGCCAAAUAUCCUUCAGGGGAUAGCGCAGGGAUGGACCUAUGGCGCAUUAGCUAGUUGGCGGGGCAACGGCCCACCAAGGCAACGAUGCGUAGCCGGCCUGAGAGGGCGGACGGCCACAUUGGGACUGAGACACGGCCCAGACUCCUACGGGAGGCAGCAGUAGGGAAUUUUCGGCAAUGGGGGAAACCCUGACCGAGCAACGCCGCGUGAGCGAAGAAGGCCUUCGGGUCGUAAAGCUCUGUUGUAAAGGAAGAACGUCGCAUGCAGGAAAUGGUGUGCGAGUGACGGUACUUUACCAGAAAGCCACGGCUAACUUCGUGCCAGCCGCCGCCGUAAAAC
rnacentral:rRNA from 1 species